UAGUGUUCUAUAAGCCCUACAAAUGCUAAAUGGGAACACUAUAGAGAGGUUAGAAUGGCCCCUGAGCAAGAAUGACGUGCAAAUUUGUGAAGCAUUCCAUAUUUUG
ensembl:snRNA U6 U6 spliceosomal RNA